rnacentral:rRNA from 1 species
UACGGAGGGUGCGAGCGUUGUCCGGAAUCAUUGGGCGUAAAGGGCGCGUAGGUGGCCCGGUCAGUCUUUGGUGAAAGCGCGGGGCUCAACCCUGCGUCGGCCAGGGAUACUGCCGCGGCUCGAGCACUGUAGAGGCAGGCGGAAUUCCGGGUGUAGUGGUGGAAUGCGUAGAGAUCCGGAGGAACACCAGCGGCGAAGGCGGCAUCCUGGACUGGUCCUGACACUCAGGAGCGAAAGCGUGGGGAGCGAUCCGG